rnacentral:rRNA from 1 species
CCUACGGGAGGCAGCAGUAGGGAAUAUUGGGCAAUGGAGGCAACUCUGACCCAGCCAUGCCGCGUGCAGGAUGAAGGCGUUAUGCGUUGUAAACUGCUUUUAUAUAGGAAGAAAGAGUUCUUGCGAGAACAGUUGACGGUACUAUAUGAAUAAGCACCGGCUAACUCCGUGCCAGCAGCCGCGGUAAUACGGAGGGUGCAAGCGUUGUCCGGAUUUAUUGGGUUUAAAGGGUGCGUAGGCGGUUUAUUAAGUCAGUGGUGAAAGACGGUCGCUCAACGAUUGCAGUGCCAUUGAUACUGGUAGACUUGAGUGAGAUUGAGGUAGCUGGAAUGGAUAGUGUAGCGGUGAAAUGCAUAGAUAUUAUCCAGAACACCAAUUGCGUAGGCAAGUUACUAAGUCUCAACUGACGCUGAGGCACGAAAGUGUGGGUAUCAAACAGGAUUAGAUACCCUGGUAGUCCGCACUGUAAACGAUGAUAACUAACUGUUGGCUUUCGGGUCAGUGGUACAGAGAAAUCGUUAAGUUAUCCNCUGGAGACGCGCGACGAGAACGUACGAAGAAGUAGAGACGUGAGAGAGACGACGGACGACGACGAGGGGAGGAGG